UACGUAGGGUCCGAGCGUUGUCCGGAAUUAUUGGGCGUAAAGGGCUCGUAGGCGGUUUGUCGCGUCGGGAGUGAAACUCAGGGCUCAACCCUGAGCGUGCUUCCGAUACGGGCAGACUAGAGGUAUGCAGGGGAGAACGGAAUUCCUGGUGUAGCGGUGGAAUGCGCAGAUAUCAGGAGGAACACCGGUGGCGAAGGCGGGUCUCUGGGCCGAUAUGAUCGCUGAGGAGCGAAAGCGUGGGGAGCGAACAGGAUUAGAACCCGUACGUCGAGAUCCAAGUCCAUCUGUCUACCGAUCAAUACACCUCGA
rnacentral:rRNA from 1 species